CUGAAAUAAUUCAUUACUAUAACACAAGUAAAGGUGGGGUUGAUGUGCUAGACCACAUGUGUGCUUCAUACAACACCAGCAGGAAGACCCAAAGGUGGCCAUGCUGCAUGUUUUAUGGCCUGUUGAACAUUGCAUCUAUCAAUGCCUUCAUAUUAUAUAACGAAGCAGGUCAAGCAAGAACCAGUAAAGACAAGGUGCGCCGGAUUUUCCUGCAGAAGGUGGCAUAUGACCUAGCCAAACCACUAGCCCAACAAAGAGUGGACAGACGUACCAUCCACGGGUCACUCCCUCACUGUGUGAAGGAGUGCUUUGAACUACCACUACCACCACAACAACAGGCAGAUGGCACAGGUGGAAGGGCACGCUGCCACUUCUGCCACUGGAAGACUGCCAGCAGGUGCAGGAGUCGGUGCUUCGAGUGUGGCCAGAUAGUGUGCACCAACCACUACAAACUCCUGUGCCCCAACUGCUAUCAGUAAAAGAAACGACCCUGUCCAGUGAUGCCAAAUUUCAUAGAAGGGGGCCCUACAGUAUGAGGCACCUCACUUUUGAAGCUGGCCAGGGCAAUGCAGUAAUCUACCGUGAUGGUCGGACCUCCAACCUUGUGUUUCUGUGCCUUUUCUUUUAUUAUGUACCUUUUUUGCAACUGCAAAAGAUGUUUUACAAAAGUCACUCAAAAUUUUACUUAUUUUUGUUUCCUAGCUUAGUAAAUUUUUAUACAGUCAUGAUAUACCUCAUACUUGCUGUGAUAGCAUUCAGAUGGAUCUAUUUUUUCAUUUUUGUAGUCAUUCAAACAAUAAAAAUUAGUGCUAGUAUUUUUUUUUUUAUU